rnacentral:lncRNA from 1 species
CGAUGCGUGAGGGAACGAACAAGAGAACAAAGGAGCGCCACGUUUGGAUGAUUACAGAUGAGACUUUAUGUACUGCAGAUAAUGAAUCAAGCAAGUAUAUCUUGAUGUAACAACACAAGGAAGGGGGCUUCAGCUUUGCUGUGUCAGUCGUGGUAAAUACAGGAACAUCCUUCAUGAAGAUGUGCGAGAGAAGCUUGCAAGAUCAGAAAAACUACUGAAGAUACCUCUCUUCAUUUUCAUGGAUUCUGGGAUAUUUAUCUAUUUUUUGAGCGCAGUGUCAGUGAAGAUGGUGUGGUCAGGGAUUCUGCUGUUUGUGGGAGAUCUGAAGGAACAUCUCCCAGCUUUCUACGACGAUGAGCGCUGA